AUAAAGUUUAAUUUUAACUUGAAGUUUUAUUUAAUUUUUUAUUUACAUGUAAAUUUUUUUAAGUUUUUAAUUUUAAUUUAAAUAAUUAAUAUUAAAUUUUUUAUUCGCAGUAUAUAAUUUUAUUGAUUUAAGAAAUUAAGAAUUAUAAAUAAAUUUUAAUAUUAACAAAAUUUGUGCCAGCAGUUGCGGUUAUACGAAAAAUGUGAAUAAAUUUUAUUGGUUGGUAAUUAAAGGUUUAAUUUUAAUUAAAAUUAGAUUUAUAAGGUGAAAUUUUAAAAUUUAAAAUAAUUAUUAUAUAGGUUCUUGAUUUUAUUAAUUUUUUUUUAUAAACUAGGAUUAGAUACCCUAUUAUUAAAAAUGUAAAAAUUUUUCAUCAAAGUAGUAUUAGUUAAGGUCUUGAAAUUUAAAAAUUUUGGCGGUGUUUUAGUCUAUUCAGAGGAACCUGUUCUAUGAUUGAUAGUCCACGAUAAAUUUUACUUAAUUUAAUAGUUUGUAUAUCGUCGUUAUUAAAUAUUUUAAAAGAAUUAAAUAUUUAAUAUUUUUUAUUAAAAAAUAUAUCAGAUCAAGGUGCAGCUUAUAUUUAAGAAGAAAUGGGUUACAAUAAAUUUAUUUAUAUGAAUUUAAUAAUGAAAAUUUUGAUGAAGGUGGAUUUGAUAGUAAUAAAAUUUAAAUUAAUUUUAUGAUUUUAGCUCUAAAAUGUGUACAUAUCGCCCGUCACUCUUAUUAUAAAAUAAGAUAAGUCGUAACAAAGUAGAUGUACUGGAAAGUGUAUCUAGAAUGA
rnacentral:ncRNA from 1 species